ACCAUGGCUUAACCGUGCAGGAUGAGAACCUGCUGCAGGUUCGACAAAAUCGUCGGGAACGAUUUUGCAUCGCCACUUGUGGCGACCCGCAGGGCGAGUCUCAGGAUGAGACGAGUGAUAUCCUGCACGACCCACCA
rfam:Raoultella ornithinolytica strain S12, complete genome.